ACUCUGUCACUAAGCCACCUCAUACCAUUUAGGUUUUAUAACAUUGGUCAGAAGUGCUUAGUCAAAUAUUUUGAGAGCAUUUUUUCAAGUCUGCUCAGCCAAGAGAAUUCUUAAAUGAGGAUUGGUAGAGGGGCUGAAGCAGGUGUGGAGGGGCCAUAGCUGUCAUGAGAGAGAAGCUGCCUGGUCAGAGACUAGAAAUGUCCCCCUUUCUGGUGGCAGCAUCCUGAGUCAGGUGAGAAGGAUGCUUAACCCAAGAUGACAGGACUCAUGCAACUGAGGGCUACCUGGAGAGCUACUCAGCACUUUAACGUGUCUUAUGGGGGAAAAUUCAUCUCCCUGUGUAUUAAAAGUGAUCAAACGGGAAAAAGUAAGUGAGUAAUGAUGUUUGAAGCUGUGAAGUAGAAUGUUCUGAACUAUGGGAAGAAAGCUCAUAUAACCUUUAAGCCAGUCUCCUCUCUACUGCUUGGCAAAGUGUUAAAGACAUUUUUUUUUUUUUUUUCUUUUCCAAGGACUUUUACAAGUGGAUUGAUGUUUGACUAAAUCAGACUCUGGACUGUGCUGCCAAUUUUCACUGCCUACUCACUGUGGGGGCUGUGGAGUAAUUCUAACAAAAAAGACUGUCUACUAAAAAGAAUAAAACUUCAAAUAGGAAAGACCGCAUCCCCUUUUCUAAUGAGGAAGUCAGAAAAUAAGACGAGAUUUGGCAAGCCCCAACUUGAGAAAUGGAAGCAAAGGAUGUAACUAGAAACCAUCUCAGAAAUCUAAUCAGCCUCACAAGCCUACAUAAAUCAGCAAAAGGAAAUUUGGCCUGGCAGAAGAGACAGAUUACAGAUCACAGCUGCAGAAUCUAAAAUUCCUGAUCAAACGGAUCAACAAUGUAAAGAAGCACAUACAUUUGUAAAAGGUUCAGUGGCUUUAUCUUGGGAUCUUUCUAAAUAAAGAAUCCCUCUACCAGAUCCA
rnacentral:lncRNA from 1 species